rnacentral:rRNA from 1 species
UCAGUCGACUCCUACGGGGAGGCAGCAGUGGGGGAAUAUUGCACAAUGGGCGCAAGCCUGAUGCAGCCAUGCCGCGUGUAUGAAGAAGGACCUUCGGGUUGUAAAGUACUUUCAGCAGUGAGGAAGGUGGGGUAUGGUUAAUAGCAUACUCAUUUGACGUUAGCUGCAGAAGAAAGCACCGGCUAACUCCGUGCCAGCAGCCGCGGUAAUACGGAGGGUGCGAGCGUUAAUCGGAAUUACUGGGCGUAAAGCGCAUGCAGGUGGUUUGUUAAGUCAGAUGUGAAAGACCCGGGGCUCAACCUCGGAAUUGCAUUUGAAACUGGCAAACUAGAGUACUGUAGAGGGGGGUAGGAAUUUCAGGUGUAGCGGUGAAAUGCGUAGAGAUCUGAAGGAAUACCGGUGGCGAAGGCGGCCCCCUGGACAGAUACUGACACUCAGAUGCGAAAGCGUGGGGAGCAAACAGGAUUAGAUACCCUGGUAG